rnacentral:rRNA from 1 species
UACGAAGGGGACUAGCGUUGUUCGGAAUUACUGGGCGUAAAGGGCUCGUAGGCGGCCAACUAAGUCAGACGUGAAAUCCCUCGGCUUAACCGGGGAACUGCGUCUGAUACUGGAUGGCUUGAGGUUGGGAGAGGGAUGCGGAAUUCCAGGUGUAGCGGUGAAAUGCGUAGAUAUCUGGAGGAACACCGGUGGCGAAGGCGGCAUCCUGGACCAAUUCUGACGCUGAGUGAGCGAAAGCCAGGGGAGCAAACGGG